rnacentral:rRNA from 1 species
CGAACGCUGGCGGCGUGCCUAAUACAUGCAAGUCGAGCGGACAGAUGGGAGCUUGCUCCCUGAUGUUAGCGGCGGACGGGUGAGUAACACGUGGGUAACCUGCCUGUAAGACUGGGAUAACUCCGGGAAACCGGGGCUAAUACCGGAUGCUUGUUUGAACCGCAUGGUUCAAACAUAAAAGGUGGCUUCGGCUACCACUUACAGAUGGACCCGCGGCGCAUUAGCUAGUUGGUGAGGUAACGGCUCACCAAGGCGACGAUGCGUAGCCGACCUGAGAGGGUGAUCGGCCACACUGGGACUGAGACACGGCCCAGACUCCUACGGGAGGCAGCAGUAGGGAAUCUUCCGCAAUGGACGAAAGUCUGACGGAGCAACGCCGCGUGAGUGAUGAAGGUUUUCGGAUCGUAAAGCUCUGUUGUUAGGGAAGAACAAGUGCCGUUCAAAUAGGGCGGCACCUUGACGGUACCUAACCAGAAAGCCACGGCUAACUACGUGCCAGCAGCCGCGGUAAUACGUAGGUGGCAAGCGUUGUCCGGAAUUAUUGGGCGUAAAGGGCUCGCAGGCGGUUUCUUAAGUCUGAUGUGAAAGCCCCCGGCUCAACCGGGGAGGGUCAUUGGAAACUGGGGAACUUGAGUGCAGAAGAGGAGAGUGGAAUUCCACGUGUAGCGGUGAAAUGCGUAGAGAUGUGGAGGAACACCAGUGGCGAAGGCGACUCUCUGGUCUGUAACUGACGCUGAGGAGCGAAAGCGUGGGGAGCGAACAGGAUUAGAUACCCUGGUAGUCCACGCCGUAAACGAUGAGUGCUAAGUGUUAGGGGGUUUCCGCCCCUUAGUGCUGCAGCUAACGCAUUAAGCACUCCGCCUGGGGAGUACGGUCGCAAGACUGAAACUCAAAGGAAUUGACGGGGGCCCGCACAAGCGGUGGAGCAUGUGGUUUAAUUCGAAGCAACGCGAAGAACCUUACCAGGUCUUGACAUCCUCUGACAAUCCUAGAGAUAGGACGUCCCCUUCGGGGGCAGAGUGACAGGUGGUGCAUGGUUGUCGUCAGCUC